GACGAACGCUGGCGGCGUGCUUAACACAUGCAAGUCGAACGGUAAGGCCCUUCGGGGUACACGAGUGGCGAACGGGUGAGUAACACGUGGGUGAUCUGCCCUGCACUUCGGGAUAAGCCUGGGAAACUGGGUCUAAUACCGGAUAGGACUCCUGGCUUCAUGGUUGGGGGUGGAAAGCUUUUGCGGUGUGGGAUGGGCCCGCGGCCUAUCAGCUUGUUGGUGGGGUAAUGGCCUACGAAGGCGACGACGGGUAGCCGGCCUGAGAGGGUGACCGGUCACACUGGGACUGGGAUACGGCCCAGACUCCUACGGGAGGCAGCAGUGGGGAAUAUUGCACAAUGGGCGCAAGCCUGAUGCGGCGACGCCGCGUGAGGGAUGACGGCCUUCGGGUUGUAAACCUCUUUCAGCUAUGACGAAGCGCAAGUGACGGUAGUAGCAGAAGAAGGGCCGGCCAACUACGUGCCAGCCGCCGCGGUAA
rnacentral:rRNA from 1 species